rnacentral:rRNA from 1 species
UACAGAGGUCUCAAGCGUUGUUCGGAUUCAUUGGGCGUAAAGAGCGUGUAGGCGGCCAGGUAGGUCCGUUGUGAAAACUAGAGGCUUAACCUCUAGACGUCGAUGGAAACCAUCUGGCUAGAGUCCGGAAGAGGAGAGUGGAAUUCCUGGUGUAGCGGUGAAAUGCGCAGAUAUCAGGAAGAACACCGGUGGCGAAGGCGGGUCUCUGGGCAGUAACUGACGCUGAGGAGCGAAAGCGUGGGGGAGCGAACAGG